AAUGAACGCUGGCGGCGCGCCUAAUACAUGCAAGUCGAGCGAGAAGACGUAGCAAUACGUUUGUAAAGCGGCGAGCGGGUGAGGAAUACAUGGGUAACCUACCCUCGAGUGGGGAAUAACUAGCCGAAAGGUUAGCUAAUACCGCGUACGCUCCUUGGACUUCGGUUCAGGGAGGAAAGCGAUACCGUGGGUAUCGCGCUCUUGGUUGGGCUCAUGUCCUAUCAGCUUGUUGGGAGGUAACGGCUCACCAAGGCUUCGACGGGUAGCUGGUCUGAGAGGACGAUCAGCCACACUGGCACUGCGACACGGGCCAGACUCCUACGGGAGGCAGCAGUAAGG
rnacentral:rRNA from 1 species